ACCGCCUUUUGUGCCUCGGUUUUCAAAUGUUUCAGAAGUUGAACAGUCUUCUGGAACGGAUUAUGCUCAAAAACCGAGGUACUGCUGUAUUUAACAAAAAAUAUGGAAGAAUAAUGAGACCAACUGGAAUCAUUUGAACCAAAGGUUGUCUUCAACUAGCAUUUACUCAGAUUAGACCCAUUGAAAAGAAUGACCAUGACUAUCUUAAGUCCACUCAUGUCUAUGGGUCUACUUUGAGUUAAGGUGGGUUGAAGACAACCCCAAGUAAAUAUAUGACAUUGUUAUAUAUUGAGUCAGACCACUGAUGCAUCUAGCCUGGUCUUAGGAACUUUCACUAGCAACGAGUUUCUGGGGUGUUAAGCAGAGGUCUCUACUAGUCCUCCUACAGUAUGUGAGGUCACUUAAGUCGUGGUGGAGAACUUUUGGUCCUCCAGCUGUUGUUGGACUCCCACCACCCUUGACAACUGGCAAUGUGAGUAGCGCUGUGGUCUAAGCCACUGAGCCUCUUGGGCUUGCCGAUCGGAAGGCCAGCAGUUCGAAUCCUUCGGGGUGAGCUCCUGUUGCUUUGUCCCAGCUUCUGCCAACCUAGCAGUUUGAAAGCACGCCUGUGCAAGUAGAUAAAUAGGUACCACUGCGGCAGGAAGGUAAAUGGCGUUUCUGUGAGCUCUGGCACUCGUCACAAUCCUCUGUGUGCCAGUAGCGGUUUAGUCAUGCUGGCCACAUGACCCUGAAAGCUGUCUGUGGACAAACACCGGCUCCCUUGGCCUGAAAAGCGAGAUGAGGGCCGCAGCCCAUAGUUGCCUUUGACUGGACUUAACAGUCCGCUGCCUUGCGAUGCUGCAAGUUGGAGUCUCAUAACAUCUGGAAGGCCACAGGCUUCCUGUGCCUGAGUAAAAUGUAUAUCCAUCCCCCCCUCUCUUUUUGGGGGGAAGGGAAGUAAGAAGCAAGGUUGGUUAGUGGAAUCACAAGUCUCCAGCUAUUUUGGUGGGAAUGUGCUUUCAUCGGUAUAAGAAGAGCUGGUAAGUGGCUUCUAGCUUUACUGUUCACAUUAAAUUGUAAAUGGAGUGCCCAAUAGACACCAGCCCCACUUGUUUCACUCGCUCUCAUGUAAUCUGAUUGCUUGGAAAGAUCAAUGCAACAAAUUAUAAGGCAUCUUUGAAGUCACUAUUUGAUCAGAUAUGAAAUAUGUCAUGGCUGGUAAAAAAAGCAUCUUUAUGUACUACUGCAUUUUGUUCUAUUAAGCAGCCAUUGGCAGUAUGAAUGAGCCGAGCAGCUCUAACAUUCAGAAUAUCUGCCCUUUGUCUAUAGCAUGCAAUCUAUUUUCAUUCAUUUUCUUUACAGACUUAAAUGAGCAGAUGUAAUUCGGUUUAGAUAAUGCAUCACAGCUGCAGUAGGCAGGAAAGAAUGGGAGAAAGUAAUUGUUCCUGAAAGGAGGAUACAAAUGAAUCAAAUGCGUCGUAUUUGUGCAAUUCAACUUGGAAUUUCUCUCUGUCAACUAGGAUGGAGUAUGCAUAGCAACAAAUCUUUCCCCAUUACAACUGUGUUGUAAUGUAAAACACAAGGUUGAAUGGAUGAAAGAGUGUCCUUCUCACGUCUAAUAACAGAAUGAAGCGUGUCCCCCCUGUUUUACCCUUCUAUGCUUUUUUUUCCUGUUACAGUAAACAGAGCCACAUUAAUUUCCACUGAGACUGAAUCAACCGCUAAUCUGUCUAGUUUUUGGAUUUGUCCCUGUAGGACUUCAGGUUGCAAGCUGUUUCUGGUAAUGUCUUCCUCGUGUUUACUCAAAUGCAGUGUAUUGAAAUGCCCUUGGCGUAUUUAAAUGCAUUGCAAAAUGCUUCAAGUAAGGUAGGCAUCCCCUUGCCUGAACUAUGGCUUAGCAUGAAUGCGCAAAGCAUGUAGUUUCCAGGCUAGGAGACGAUGGCCACAGUGCUCUUCCUUCAUUCUCCCGCUGCUGCACUACCACGGUUUGGCUUAUUGUGUCAUCUGAACCUGGUUUGUCAUGGUUUGUCUCCUCUGGAAAAACCAAGUUGCAAAUCAAGAAUAAAUCUUAGUUACCGCUUAUGGUUUGUACUUUUCCAGACAAACCACAAGCCCAGGUUAGGAGGACAUGCUAAUCGUUGCAGCAUGGAGGCAGAAGGGCCAGGGGAAAAGCAGUAGCUGCGAUCUCUUCUCCAGGGAUUUGCGUGGUCACCUGUUCUCAUAAAGGGUUAUGUGAAAACUGGGUCACGGUAUAUAUUACCAUUCAGCUCCUCGAGUGGUAUAUCUAGCAGUAAAAGGGGCAAAGUGCGAUGAGCAAUGCAAUAAUAAAGAGAGGAGGACUCAACAGUGCUGUGCAAAUUAUGUACUAGGCCCAAGUCAAAUCUUUUGCCUCUUCCUCAGGUGCAAUGUGCUUAAUCCAUUCAGCAGAUAACUAAGACUAUCCUCUAGACCAGUGGUAGGUAAGCUUCAGCCCUCCAUAUGCUGCUGCAACUGCCUCCCAUCAUCCCUGGCCAUUGGGCUAUGAUGGCUUGGGCAGAUGUGAGCUGGAGUCAAGUGACUACUGAGCCAAGCAGAUAAGUAACUAUAGAACCUUUAGAAGACACCUGAACUUAUUUUACCGCUCAACUUAUUUUACCGCUUCUAUCAAAAUUUAUACCCCUUCAAUAUUAUUUGGAAUCCUCCCCUGAAAUUCUUCGAAAAUACCUCCUGGAAGAUUCCUCAAGCUCAGUAUCAUAUGAGGUGGCUAAAUUUUGCACUUUAGUAAUUAAGAAACGUAAAUCUCUUCUGUUGAAUGGCACACUGCGAAGUUCCCUUGUGUAACCUUUUUUCUUUUCUGAAGUUGUUGCUGAUUUCUUGUUGUCUGAUCUUGGGAUGUUUAGUGUCACUGGCUUUGGCCGCAAUAAACUUGGACUUGCUUGGAAAGCAGCCCUAUAUAGGGUUUUUGUUUUCUUUUGUUUUGUUUUUUGAGACGCGGGUGGCGCUGUGGGUUAAACCACAGAGCCUAGGGCUUGCCGAUCAGAAAGUCAGCGGUUCGAAUCCCCGCGACGGGGUGAGCUCCCGUUGCUCGGUCCCUGCUCCUGCCAACCUAGCAGUUCGAAAGCACAUCAAAGUGCAAGUAGAUAAAUAGGUACCGCUCCGGCGGGAAGGUAAACGGCGUUUCCGUGCACUGCUCUGGUUCACCAGAAGCAGCUUAGUCAUGCUGGCCACAUGACCCAGAAGCUGUACGCCAGCUCCCUCGGCCAGUAAAGCAAGAUGAGCGCCACAACCCCAGAGUUGUUUGCAACUUGAACUAACGGUCAGGGGUCCCUUUACCUUUUUAUAGGGUUUUUUAGUCUUUUAAUAUUGUUGGAAGCCGCUCAGAGUGGCUGGGGCAACCUAGUCAGAUGGGUGAGGUAUAGAUAAUAUAAUUAUUAGUAGUGGUGGUAGUAGAAUGGAAUAGGAGGUCCCUAUUUUCAUUGGAGAAAUGUUGAAGGGUAUGAAACAACACAUAGAAGGCCACAAGUUUCCCAUACCUGAGUUAAAAGUAUAUUUAUCCCCUCCUUUAAAUAUAAAGGAAGGAAGGAAGGAGUGUUGGUUAGUGGCAUCGCAGUGGUUCACAGCCAGCACAGCCAGUUUCUGCUAUAAAAACACAUCUGCUGUAAACUGGCUUCCCCUGAGCCCAGUCCUGGAGAAAAGUUAGUUGCGCAAAUGCACUUCUACAAAUUAUCUGAAGUGCUGGAGGUGGUAUGUGCCUCUCAAAACUAGCUGCUGGGAAUCACAAGAUGGGGAAGCACUAUUGCACUCAGGUCUGGCUUGGGGAUUCACCAUAGGGAUCUAGCCACAUGAUGGUGGACUAGCUGAGUCUUUUAUCAUACCAUCUUCAUUACUCACAGGAUCCUCAGUCUCACCACAGUCCUCUGCUUCUUUUCACCAGCAGCAUCAAGGAAGUGGAGCUCAAAUGAAAGCCCAAUAGCUGCAUUAUCCCUUCCUCUUUUGUAUCUCUACACAGCUAUUAAAAUUGUUUGCUGCCUCUUUCUGAAGAUAAAUCUGCUUUGUUACCUCAGCCCACUUCACUCGUCACAUGAUUUAUUCAUCCAUUGCAUUCAACAUUUGGGAACAGAAGGCCACAAAUCUAAGCAACCCUACGUAGGAGUAAGCACUACAGGACGUGCUGGGACUUACUUCUGAGUAAACACGUUGUAUAGAAUUGUGCUGUAAAGUCAGAGAAAUUUAUAUUCUGGGUUUUUUGUGUGUGUGUGUGUUUUUAAUCAAUGAACACUAAUAACAUAUUUGUAGUAUUGAUCAACAGUUUUCAUACUACGGCGGAACGUCAGGAAAGUAAAUGUGGGAUCAUUAAUGACAAUGUACAUGACUUGCGAGUAAAUUGCCCGGAAGGAAGAAAAACACAAUUGGUGAGUAAUCAUGCUCCUAACCACCUAUAAACACACACACACACACACACACACACACACACACACGCUCUGCAAUCCAAGGGCUCAUCAACUGCAUACAGGUUUAACUUCAGGAACACAUGGUGCUACAGAACCAUUCAAUCUGGGACAAAGCUCAGUUGGUACAGCAUGAGACUCCUAACCUCAGGGUCGUAGGUUCGAGCCCCACAGUGGGCAAAAGAUUCCUGCAUUGCAGGGGGUUGGACUAGAUGACCCUUGUGGUCCCUUCCAAUUGUAUAAUUCCAAUGGGCCCAAAAUAUACCAUAUACAGACGUUGAUUCAGUUCAAUGGUUCCAGUAUUGUGCUUGCUUGUUUGGGAAGCAAUCCGUUUCUACAAUAGCUGCAUAUGCCCACCAUGAACCAUGCGGACAUUACGCUCUAGAAGUAUAGCCUGCAAUGAAACAUUGCAGGUGGAGUGCUCUUGCUCAUGGCUGUCUGGCUAGAAACCUGCUCAUUUAUAGGAUACCCCAUGCCAUUCCCCCCUCUGCCCCCCGUUUCCCAUUCUCCUCCCAACACACAUGUGCCUUCAACAGUCAGCAAUCGAUUGUCCCCAGGCAACUUAGUCCUCACUAGGCUGAUUCGAGAGGGUUCCCCUCAAUAUUCCCCCCUCCCUAAAUAUUGAUGUGUACUUCUGCAAACCUAGGAGUUCCUGAAUGCCUGCUGAUACCCCCUACUUGUGAGUGGAUCCUCAGUUGUGCACAAAACGCAUGGGUUGUGAAAUUGAACCAAAUGUUCUCAAGGGAGGACUGAAAUUCUCAAACAGUUCAGGAAAACAGUUCAGAAAGAAAGAAAGAAAGAAAGAAAGAAAGAAAGAAAUUCAAAGAUAUAUCAGAAAAUUUAUUCUGAGCAAUUCAGCUCAGCUCUAAUUUAUUUAAAUUUAUGCAGGUUGCGUGUAAGUGGAAGACAAACUUUAACAUUCCAAUAAGGGAGUUACACCAGCUACUCUUGGAGGCAGCACCCUGUGAAACCACCCUGGGGAUAAUUUUAUUCCUAAAAGGCAGCUUAGAAAUUUAUUAAAUACACAAGAAUAAAUAAAUAAGAUUCUCACAGAGACCAAACUCAGCUCUCCGUGCCUUUCUCUUUCUCAGCCUUGUUCAAACUGCACUCUCUCUGUUUUGUCUCUUCCUAUGCAGACACCUUGCUCACCCCACCCCAGCUAGAGGGAGAAUCAUCUCUUCUGACCAUCAAGCCUUCUUAGCUCCCACAGAGACACAUCAUUGGAACAUCACAAGCUAUCAACACUCUUUUAUCAACUCUUAAGAUGCUAGCCGGGUAUUGCCUGGGGCAAUCCACACCGAUAGUCUUACUCACAGGAAUCUGAUAGCAAACCCAAGGUAGCAGUUGAAAGGAUAAUAGCACAGGUGAAAGUGGAUUGAUAGCAUGCUAAUAGAGACUUUAGGUCUGGCCUGAACUGUAGAGUUGCUCUGUUCAACAAAUCCUCUGAAUGCCUGGAACAGAGGCAGUACACAUUUUCAGCAUGAGAUGGAGAAAUCCUCACUUUGUGAAUCAUACUGACCCAUUUGUCGGAUAUUGCCUUCAAAUGAAAGUGACCAACAUUACCUAUGUUACAUACUGAGCGUUCAAUGUUUUAUGAAACAUUUUUUUUGAAUGGUG